AUAAGGGGACAGAGCAGGGACAGGGCUGGAACUAUGCUGUAAGAAGUUUGGGGCCAGGUAUGAAAAAUCAUCUGAAUCAGACCUAGAAACUACUCACUUGAAACCUCCAGAUAUGUAAGUAGUUCAGGAAAUGUCUAGGAAGAUGCGAUUAGCUUUAUUUCUUUGUAUUUCUCUAUGGCUUGUGGACUCCACUGUGCUAGCCCCAAAUGUUUUUGUUUUGCUUGUAACCUUUAAACUGGACUUCAAGAAG